UUUCUACUAGUGUACACACGGCCUCUGCAUAACUAAGAUGCACACAGUCAAACAAAGUUCUCUCAUAUAAAACGAAAAAUAAAAAGGCGAAAUACAAAGAGACAUGUAGAAUCUGUAUAACACCUAAAGUGUAGGGGGUCUAUCCUAAGAUCAUGCUGCCACCCGUGUUGGGUAAAAGUAUCCCUCGCUGUAACCUCCAAUCGUGUGCACACCUCCGUAAAUAGGUCUCGAUUCUCCACGCAUUGUAGAGAGGACCAUAAACGAAGAGUCUCGGUAUAUCUGUAGAUAACCUGCAUCGGAGAGGUACUUUUAGCAUUAAAACCGUUAUCAUUUCUACAUAGCCAAAUCAACCAAAUAACGGCAAGCGCUCCCAUCCUGAGAAGAGUUCUAAACCUGUGGUCAAUCCCAUAUAACCAGUUGCCAAAUACAUUAGCAACACUACAAGGAGGAUACAAGCCAGAAGCUAUUUGGAUGACUGAUCAUAUAGAACGGGCCAAUUUGCAUUAGAAGAAUACAUGUUUUACUGUCUCAUCAUGGUGAAAAAAGACACAUUGCGGACUUCCAUGCCAAUUUCUCUUAAUAAGGUUAUCUUUAGUAAGAAUGACUCCGUGACGAAGAUACCAUGUAAAGAUUUUAUUCUUGAGAGGUAUCUACAUCUUCCAGAUCUUCUUGUUAUUAUCAACUAACACAUUAGACUGGAUUAACACUCUAUACAUGGACUCCACUGAGAAUUGUCCAUUCCCAUGGAGGUUCCAUCGGAAUACAUCGGGCCCAUGUGACAAUUGCACCAUGGACAACCGCUGGAGCAGGAUGUUCCAUGAUUGGAGUGUGGGUCCAAUUAGAUCUUUUAUGAACGUCACAUUUGGUGGAAAUGAUUCCAUUACCGUGGCAAUAGUAUCACCCUUGUGGCGCACAAUGUUGUAUCGAGCCGGGUAUUGUUCCCGGAGUGUGGCAUCUCCUACCACUUGUCCUCCCAGAAUCUAAUUUCCGAGCCGACUUAAUCGAGAAGGAUUUUGCUCGGACUCGCAAGAUUUUGCUCGGAUAUUGUGUCGUUACCUUGUUGAAGGCAUUGCUAGGAUUUUGCUCGGACUUGUUCUUCGGGGUGAAAACCACUGAUCUGACCUUUGGUGGUUGGAUCCUGCGCCGGCGGUCGGGGGACGCUUGAGCGUCAUCCCCUCCUGAAGGCAUUGUUGUUAGAGAAUCCCUCUCAAGGUACCGGUGAUGUCAAGUUAUUGUUGGUGCGGAUAUGGUUGUUGUAUAUUGUUGAUCAUUGUUUUGAUUGCUUCAGAGUUUUUUUUUCAUCAAGGCAUAGCGUCGGUCUUGUUUAACUUUGCUAGUUGCCGGUGUUUUUUAUGUGUGUGCGUUGGAGUUGGCUGUGUCCAUCCUAACUAUGCAGAGGACGGGUGUGUUGCUCGUUGUGUUUGUAUCCCCUUGAUGCUUCAUUGUAAGCCAGUAGAAUCCGCCCUUUGUCGAAAAAGAUCAUAGCUCACUUGUUCCUCGUCAUCUAAACCAUCUUCUCUAUUGUUAACAUUGAUAUACAUUUCGCUCAUCAACAACAUCAGUUUGAGAUCCCGGCACCUCAGUGUUGUUUUUGAUUGCUUGCUGCAGCAACUCGUGCUGUCUUUCCACUUCCAGCUCAAAACUUCUUUUCUUCACCUCUAGUUGUUGCAUCCUUUCCUCUUACAGAGCCAACUAGGCGUCCUGUACAAAGCAGCAGGCUCUUCAGCUUGCCUCAACCUCCUCAACAGUUCUCAUCACCUCAGCGCGCACUUCUUCGAUGAGAUGAACUAGUUGCCAUGCAUGUCAGCUAGUAAGUGUUAUUCCAUGCUAGCUUUAAGGGUGUCUUCAUAUUUUGCCUUAAGAGACAGGCAGCCCAAUAUUCUACUCCCUCCGUCUCAAAAUAAGUGACUCAAUUUUGUACUAACUUUGUUUCACUCAUACUCAGUUAAACGUAUGUACGUGAGCGGACACUAGUUCCAGCAGAAGUACGCUGAACUGAGUUUGGUAGAAAAUCAGUUUCUCUCUACGAGAGAACAUUCGGCACUCUUUGUUGUGUUGCAUGGGCAUUCAUCGCGACACAAACUCACACCAAUACUAUCUCGCUCUCACCUCACUUGGCCAAGAAUCGACAGCGUCUGCAUCUCGAUGUCAAUCAAAUAAUUAACUUGCGUGGCAGGAGAGGCACGAGCGCUGUACGUGCUCGUGCUCCACGAGGCCACCAUAAUAACGCGUGCUCCACGAGUAGUACCAUCGAGCAGUGACCAAUUUCCAACACAAAAUGAUGUUGCUGUAAAAAAAGACUCCCGCCUCCAGCCUCGUGUAUAUAUAGGCCGGCCGGCCAGCCAUGCAUGGCGUACGCUGGACUACACCUCACGGUCACCACCCUGGACACGCGCAGUGGCAGCCUAGCUAGCUAUAGGAGUGAGUGACAGCUGAAGAAGAGGCAUGAUGGGGAUGGCGCACGUCGUCGUCCUGGCGGCGGUGCUGGCCAUGGCGGCGACGGCGAGCUCCUCGCCGGAGGUGGGGGUCCAGCCGCUGUCCAAGAUCGCCAUCCACAAGGCCACCGUCGAGCUGCACGGCUCCGCGUACGUGCGCGCGAGUGCGCUGCUGCUCGGCGACGGCGACCAGCAGGUUUGUAAUUUUGUAUAUAAAGCUAACUGUUUAGCUGGUUUAUGGGUUGGAUCUUAUUCUUACAUCCAGGAGUGAAAAGCAAGCAAAAGACAUGUUAUAUUGUUAUACAGAGUGAACCCGGAUAGAAACUUUGUGAUGGUGCUUGGGUAUGAAUAAAGUUUCAAAUGUUCUAUCUCAACCAAGAUAUAAAAACUAAAAAAUACCUAAGCAACUCAAAAUUGUGAGCUGCCUCUCACAGGAAGGAGACACUGCAAUGGUCACUGUGAAUAAUGUAAUCUCUUCCGGUCUCAAGAUGCGCACAGCCAGAUACUUUGUGAUGGUUCUUGGAUAUCUGAACAAAGUGUGGAUUGUUUCUAUCUCAACCAAGAUAACAAAAACUAAAUAAAUUGUAAGCAACUCAGAAUUUUGAGUUACCUGUGACAGGAAGGAGACACUGCAACGGUAACUGUGGAAUACGGCUGGCAAAACCCCGCCACCGACGACUGGAUCGCCGUCUUCUCCCCCUCCGAUUUCAUGUAAUUAUUAUGAUUCCCACCUCCUAUCAUAUGUCGACCAAUGUACAGUAUUGUUAUUGUGUAUCUCUGACCAGUCUACGUAUGCAGCUCGGGCUCGUGCCCUAACCCAAGGAGGUACCCCACUGAACCGCUGCUCUGCACGGCGCCUAUCAAGGUUCGUUGAUUAGCUAACCAAGUAUUUUUUUUCUUGAGAUUUCAUCACGUUUCCAUGAUUNNNNNNNNNNNNNNNNNNNNNNNNNNNNNNNNNNNNNNNNNNNNNNNNNNNNNNNNNNNNNNNNNNNNNNNNNNNNNNNNNNNNNNNNNNNNNNNNNNNNNNNNNNNNNNNNNNNNNNNNNNNNNNNNNNNNNNNNNNNNNNNNNNNNNNNNNNNNNNNNNNNNNNNNNNNNNNNNNNNNNNNNNNNNNNNNNNNNNNNNNNNNNNNNNNNNNNNNNNNNNNNNNNNNNNNNNNNNNNNNNNNNNNNNNNNNNNNNNNNNNNNNNNNNNNUGUGUGUGUGUGUGGUGAGUGCAGUAUCAGUACGCCAACUUCUCGGCGAACUACCUCUACUGGGGCAAGGGCACCAUCCAGUUCCAGCUCAUCAACCAGCGCUCCGACUUCUCCUUCGCCCUCUUCACCGGCGGCCUCGAAAACGUACGCAACCACAGCUAGCUAAUUCCAUGGUUGUACCGUGCAUGUCUCAUGUGUCCCUGUCACGAUCUCAAGUUCUAAGUGCUAGCUCUACGUGAACGCCGUGCCUUCAAUUUUGCAGCCGAAGCUGGUGGGGUUGACGAAGCUGUCGCCGUUCAAGAACCCCAAGGCGCCGGUGUUCCCGCGGCUGGCGCAGGGCAAGACCCACGACGAGAUGGCCGUGACCUGGACCAGCGGCUACGACGUCGGCGAGGCCUACCCGUUCGUGGAGUGGGGCAUGGUCACCACCGGCUCCGGCGCCGGGAACCCCGCCCGCACCCCCGCCGGGACGCUAACCUUCAACCGCGGCAGCAUGUGCGGCGCGCCGGCGCGGACGAUCGGGUGGAGGGACCCCGGGUUCAUCCACACGGCGUUCAUGAGGGGCCUCUGGCCCAACAAGGAGUACUUCUACAAGGUCGGGCACGAGCUCCCCGACGGGACGGUGGUGUGGGGCAAGCCCUACACCUUCCGGGCGCCGCCGACGCCCGGGCAGAGCUCGCUGCAGCGCGUCAUCGUCUUCGGCGACAUGGGGAAGGCGGAGAGGGACGGGUCGAACGAGUACGCCAACUACCAGCCGGGGUCGCUCAACACGACGGACGCGCUGGUGAAGGACCUGGACAACUUCGACAUGGUCUUCCACAUCGGCGACCUGCCCUACGCCAACGGCUACAUCUCGCAGUGGGACCAGUUCACCGCGCAGGUCGCCCCCAUCAGCGCCAGGAAGCCCUACAUGAUCGCCAGCGGCAACCACGAGCGGGACUGGCCCAACACCGGCGGGUUCUUCGACGUCGAGGACUCCGGCGGCGAGUGCGGCGUGCUCGCCGAGACCAUGUACUACUACCCGGCCGAAAACAGAGCGAACUUCUGGUACGCAGUUUUACAAUUCCUACGUGUAGUGUCAAAAACGUUGUUAUAUUAUGGGACGGAGGGAGUACUAGAAAAUGACGGAAUGGCUGAAUGAAUAAUCAAUCUCUCAAGGUACAAGGUGGACUACGGGAUGUUCCGGUUCUGCGUGGCGGACUCGGAGCACGACUGGCGGGAAGGGACACCACAGUACAAGUUCAUCGAGGAGUGCCUCUCCACGGUGGACCGGAAGCACCAGCCGUGGCUCGUCUUCGCGGCGCACCGGGUGCUGGGAUACUCCUCCAACAAGUGGUACGCCGAGCAGGGCUCCUUCGAGGAGCCCGAGGGGCGGGAGAGCCUGCAGAAGCUGUGGCAGCGGCACCGCGUCGACCUGGCCAUCUUCGGCCACGUGCACAACUACGAGCGCACCUGCCCGCUCUACCAGAACCAGUGCGUGAGCAACGAGCGGAGCCGCUACUCGGGCACCAUGAACGGGACCAUCUUCGUGGUGGCGGGCGGCGGCGGCAGCCACCUCAACGGCUACACCAGCGCCGUCCCCAAGUGGAGCGUGUUCAGGGACCGGGACUACGGCUUCACCAAGCUCACGGCCUUCAACCACUCCUCGCUUCUCUUCGAGUACAAGAGGAGCAGUGAUGGCGAGGUGUAUGACAACUUCACCAUCCACAUGGACUACCGCGACGUGCUCGGCUGCGUGCACGACAGUUGCUUCCCCACCACCCUCGCUACCUGACCGUCGAGCCGCCAUGGAGCCAGCCAGCCAACCAGCGGCUAAUAAAGGGAGUUGGCCCUGUAUUUUCUUGUAUUUUCAUGGUGUGCGCAUGUUGUGGUCUCUGUUCUUCGCAGUCUGUUGCGCUAGAGUGUGGAGGUUUUCUGUUACUGUUGCUGUAGUUGAACAACACUGUGUGACGCUGGUGUUCCCAGUGAUUAUGUCGCUUCAAUAAAAAGCCGGGCUGUCAUAGCAUAUUCUCUAGAAAUAAAUAUACGCAGAAUUUGCUUCUUCUUUUUUUGCAUCAACGGCCCCAGGAGCACACCAUGGAUUUCAGGUCGAAGAUGCAUGGGCGGGGGGCGGCGGCAUUUGCAGAGACGGCGGGGGCUAUGAAACUCACGGGAGGCCUGAAGGUCGGUGGAGCUGCUGCGGCUGUAGUAACUGCAACCACGGCUGACAUAUCUGGGAAAGAUAGACAUGAUCACGCGAACAAAUGCAAUCGCAUGCCGAGCUGCAGGAAGGAGCACGGCAGGACGAAUUGCGAUGCUACGCAGAGAAGUUAUAAAGAACGAUACCAAGGCAGCAGAAAAACUACUCCCUCCGUCAUAUCGGUUGUAAUAUCUUAUAAUAUGGGACCGAGGGAGUAGAUACCAAGGGAGCGCUUGUGUCUGACCUCCUUGAUCAUGCUCACGUCAACACGAGUCCUGGGCGUGGCAUUUUCUGAUUGUUACAAGUUCCAACAUAUAAACAUUAACGAAAGAAGAAAGAAAAAAGAAGCAAACAAGGUAGCUGAAUCUGCAGCCGCGGACAAAGUGCAAGCAAAAUGAUGGCGAUCGCCCAGAGCUAACAUGUUGAUCCAUUGGACAUCUCCAAAUAAGUAGUGCUACUCCACUUCAUUAGGACAUCUAUAUAUCAUCAUCUGUUCUCGGCCUGCGAUUGCAUUUGUUCGUGUCCUUCCCGGAAAUCGCAGCCGUGGUUGCAGCUACUACGGCUGCAGCAACCGCGCCGACCUUGAGGCCUCCCGUGAGCUUCAUAGCCCCGGCCAUCUUUGCAAACGCCGCCGCCCCCACCAACUUCGACCUGAAAGCCAUGGUGCGUUCCUGGGGCAGCUGUUUCAGAAAAUGAGCUAAUUCAGCAGCGAUCUCCUGUUGUUACGCAUGUUAUUUCUUCGAGUGCCUGUUUAGAGCAUCGAUGUAGAGUCAGCAGAGAAGAGGCUUAAGAUGUUUAUCAUGUGCAGUGGCCAUUUGUACUCACAAGAUAGCUGAAGAUAUAGACAAUUGACCAAGGAACGGCAGACUGAAAUCAUUUCUAGACUAGAAAAGAUUUGUUUCAGAGUUGUAGUGUUCGGAACUUCGAAUAUCCUGUAUAUAUCACCCCUCUUCACCAGCCUAAGACUUGUGCACAGGAAACAAAAUUCCCGACUACGAACUCUGCUAUGGAUGAGCUCGCAGGGUGAACCUUUCUUUCAAGUGCCAGACUAGAUCCAACAACACAACCAAAUAUCUCAAGACUUGGGUACACAGGAAACAAAAUUCCUGACCACAAACUCUGCUAUGGACGAGCUCGCAGGAUGAACCUCUUUCAAGUGCUAGAGCAGAUCCAACAAAACAACCAAAUACUAUCUAGCUAGCUGCUGGCUGCUAGAGGGAGAGAUUCUUAGGUACGAUCCAUACCUCGACCAGGAAAUCAGGAAGAAAAAGCAGCCGCGGAGCUGCCGGCUGGCUCGAGGGAGAGCGCGAUCAGCUCCCCAGGACGCCUCGCCUUGGACCUCGCAAGGAAGAUGGGGAGGAAUGUUUUGAGUCAACACGGAGAGGGCCCGUGAGAGUAUGAGCUAGUCACAGGGAGGCCUCUCAAGUCUUUUUCUUUUCUUCUCUUGGGAUGGGUGGGGGCCAAGCUUGGGAGAAGCUGUUGAACGAGCGAUCCCUUUGAAUUCUUCAUGCUCAAACAGACCGCAGAUGCAUGCACCUCCCUCUAUUCAUUCUCCCACCUGCUCCUCUCGCCAUCCAUGCGGGGAAGGGCGGACCAUUUUCCAUGGAGAAAGCAUGCGCCCCCAAUCAACGAGCUCCAUCGCAGAACUGCUCCAGCCACAUGCAUCUGCAAAAAAAUACUUCUCGGUAAAACUAUAAAGCAUGGCUAUAAAUUUUCUGUUGAGACGCAAAGUGAGCACUAAAAUUUAAACUACUGAUGGGUGAAGAUGAUCAGGCACACAUGCAACCAUAAACAACUUUAAAAACAAGCUGUAGAAACAAAUACUAGUAUAUUGAAUAUCCCCCUUGUCCCUCCUCUUGGUGAGAGGUCAUUGUGCUUAUCCCCACUUCUAAUAAAAGAAAUCCACGCAUCUGUCUUUGCCUGCCCAGGCAUCAUCAUGCACUAGCUAGUCAUUCAGAUUAAUUUAUUGUUACUAACUUAUUGCCCCGCCCAGGCAUCUUCUAGCUAAACAAUGCUUUAUUCACCAUAAAAAAUUGUUGGAUCAUUAACCAAGAGAGGGAUCAGGCCAAACGUUCACAUCAACUCCAGCUCUCGUCAGCUACAGAAUAAACCUCCUAUUGGGAAAUGCACGAAGCUUGCUUUCCAUCAAGGUGCAUUCAUCAAAGAUUGUUGCUGCUGAACCAAAAGACCGUUCGCUGGUCAGCAUCACUUCAUUCACAUCGACACAGUCCGAAUCGGUUGCAUCCAAAUUGCUCUGCCAACCGAAGCCCGUGCAGAAGACCAAAGGCUUUAGCAGUUCAGCUGUCACCUAUUUUUAUCUACACAUGCAGGACGUAGCAGUUCAGGACCAGCCUUAAAACCCUUAAUCAUUUGGAACAUUUAGCGCGGUAGUUGGGCAAAUGAGCUGGCAUGCUUAGCCCCGGUACCAACAACCCCCUCAAUUCAUGCAUCGUUCUUCUUCUUGUUGUCUUGAAGCCAGCAUGGGCUUGAUGAGGCGUUGAUUAAACCCACCAGCCCUUCACUGUUGAUCCGUCCUUUGGCUACACACAUCAGCAGCUGCUGCUUGGUCGAUUUUACACUGACCACUAUAGUCUCAGAUCCACACAGAAACAGUUGGGAUCAAUGGAGGCGACAGUGUUGAGCGUGGGCAAGUCCGCGGUGAAGGGGGCGCUCGGCUACGCCCAGUCCGCCAUCGCGGCGGAGGUGGCGCUGCAGCUGGGGGUACAGCGCGACCAGGCCUUCAUCAGGGACGAGCUCGACAUGAUGCAGUCCUUCUUGAUGGUCGCGCACGGCGAGCAGGACGACGGCAAGGUGGUCGGGACCUGGGUGAAGCAGGUCCGUGACCUGGGCUACGACGUCGAGGACUGCCUCCAGGACCUGGCUGUCCGCCUCGAGAAGCCAUCCUGGUGGCGUUUCCUCAGGACACUGCUUGACCGGCGCCAUGUGGCUAAGCAGAUGAAGGACCUGCGGGAGAAGGUCGAGGAUGUCAGCCAGAGGAACUUGAGGUACCGCCUCAUCAGGAGCCCUGCCGCUGCUGCUGACUCCAAGCAUGUCACCACCGCCGCCGACCAAAACUUCGCAGGCAGCGCGACGAUGUUCGGCAUCGACGAGGCGAGGCGUGCCAUGAAGCGGGACAGGCCGAGAGUGGACCUUGCCCAACUUAUCAACAGGGAGGGCAAGGACCUUGGAGUCAUCGCCGUGUGGGGAACAUGUGGUGUUCUUGGGCAGGCGUCUGUGAUACAGAAGGUGUAUGAUGAUGCAGACAAGUUUGAAUGUCGUGCCUGGAUCAAGCUUACACAUCCUUUUGAUCCGAUCAUGUUCAUGCGGAACAUUAUGAGGCAGUUCUAUGGAUGUUCUUUUCCAGAACUGGCAGCUGGGGGUCAAAGCUGUCAAGAAAGAGCAACCACUGUAGGGGCUUAUGUUCUCAAAAAGAUGCUGACAAUAAAGCAAGAAGAUUUGGUUGACGAGUUCAACGAGCAUGUAAAUAGCAAGAGUUACCUGAUUGUUCUUAAUGACCUGUGUACCAUAGAAGAUUGGAACUGGAUCAAAACUU
rnacentral:lncRNA from 1 species